UGUGCCUGUAUCACUCACGCUGCGUCUUCCAGGAAGGAACUUAAAUCUAUUUGUGCGAGAGUGUGUGUGUGUUUUUCUCUUCUUAAACCUU